rnacentral:rRNA from 1 species
AUAUUAUUAAGCGGAGGAAAAGAAACUAACAAGGAUUCCCCUAGUAACGGCGAGUGAAGCGGGAAUAGCUCAAAAUGAAAAUCGGAUGUCUAAACGGAUUUCCGAGUUGUAAUCUAAAGACUUGUUUUCUGCGUGUGACCCGGGUAUAACUCUUUUGAAACAAGGGAUCAGAGAGGGUGACAAUCCCGUCUUUGCCUGGAAGUUCGCCGCGUACGACCUGCAUUCAAUGAGUCGAGUUGUUUGGGAUUGCAACUCUAAAUGGGUGGUAAAUUUCAUCUAAAGCUAAAUAUCAGCGAGAGACCGAUAGCGCACAAGUA